rnacentral:misc_RNA from 1 species
UCACUAAUCAAGCUAGGCUUGCUAUUGGGUCUCUUGUCGUUAAAAGACGGGCCCCAAAGAUAAUGACGGCGUCAAUUGGACCCUAGAUGCAACGAGCUUUCAUUAGCACGCAUUUUAGUGAAGCCUUUUGACCCGGUCGUUUUAUAACCAAUUUCUAA